rnacentral:rRNA from 1 species
UACAGAGGGUGCGAGCGUUAAUCGGAAUUACUGGGCGUAAAGCGCACGUAGUCGGCUUUGCAAGUCGGUUGUGAAAUCCCCGGGCUCAACCUGGGAACUGCAUCCGAGACUGCAUUGCUAGAGUAUGGGAGAGGAAAGCGGAAUUUCUGGUGUAGCAGUGAAAUGCGUAGAUAUCAGAAGGAACAUCAGUGGCGAAGGCGGCUUUCUUGGACCAAUACUGAC